GAUGAAGAACGUAGCGAAAUGCGAUAAGUAAUGCGAAUUGCAGAAUUCCAGUGAGUCAUCGAAUCUUUGAACGCACAUUGCGCCCGCCAGCACUCUGGCGGGCAUGCCUGUCCGAGCGUCAUUUCAACCCUCAGGGCCCCUUCGGGGGACCUGGCGUUGGGGAUCGGCCCGCCCCCGUGCGGCGCCGUCCCCGAAAUAUAGUGGCGGUCUCGCUGCAGCCUCCCCUGCGUAGUAGCACACCUCGCACUGGAGAGCGGCGCGGCCACGCCGUGAAACCCCCAACUUCUGAAUGUUGACCUCGGAUCAGGUAGGAAUACCCGCUGAACUUAAGCAUAUCAAUAAGCGGAGGA
rnacentral:misc_RNA from 1 species